rnacentral:misc_RNA from 1 species
CUCAUGUCCUCAAGCUCGUAGAACAUGUCUUUGUUACUGUCGUGUAUGUAGACCUUGACGAGAGGGCUGUCGAGGUACUCCAUUGUCAGUUGCUUCGGGAAACUCCUUACAAAUAGCGCUUUCACUGUGUCUAUGCUCGUUAUUUCGUUCGGUAGUAGAGCCCGCUUCGUUUCGUUCCUGUACUGCAGGAACACCAGUCCUAGGGCUAGUGGACGCUCGAGCGUCUUGCUGGGUGUUCUGACGACGGGAAGACUGCUUCGUUGUUUUCCACCACGACGGAAUCCUGUGCUGGAUGUUUCAACCUCGGACAUUAUCCCCGGAUCAUCGUCAAACAGCAUAGCUGACGAGGGGGGUGGGUAUCCACGGGGGAGCGUGGUC